rnacentral:rRNA from 1 species
CGGAGGAAAAGAAACCAACCGGGAUUGCCUUAGUAACGGCGAGUGAAGCGGCAAAAGCUCAAAUUUGAAAUCUGGCGUCUUCGACGUCCGAGUUGUAAUUUGAAGAAGGCAACUUUGUAGCUGGUCCUUGUCUAUGUUCCUUGGAACAGGACGUCAUAGAGGGUGAGAAUCCCGUGUGGCGAGGAUCCCAGUUAUUUGUAAAGUGCUUUCGACGAGUCGAGUUGUUUGGGAAUGCAGCUCUAAGUGGGUGGUAAAUUCCAUCUAAAGCUAAAUAUUGGCGAGAGACCGAUAGCGAACAAGUACAGUGAUGGAAAGAUGAAAAGAACUUUGAAAAGAGAGUGAAAAAGUACGUGAAAUUGUUGAAAGGGAAGGGCAUUUGAUCAGACAUGGCGUUUGCUUCGGCUUUCGCUGGGCCAGCAUCAGUUUUAGCGGUUGGAUAAAUCCUCGGGAAUGUGGCUCUGCUUCGGUAGAGUGUUAUAGCCCGUGGGAAUACAGCCAGCUGGGACUGAGGAUUGCGACUUUUGUCAAGGAUGCUGGCGUAAUGGUUAAAUGCCGCCCGUCU